ensembl:misc_RNA Metazoa_SRP Metazoan signal recognition particle RNA
GCCGGGCAGGGUGGCACGUGUCUGUAGUUCCAGCUAUUCGGGAGGCUGAGGCUGGAGGAUCUCUUGAGCCCAGGAGUUCUGGGUUGUAGUGCACUAUGCUGAUCGGGUGUCCACACUAAGUUUGGCAUCAAUAUGGUGACCUCCAGGGAGCGGGGACCACCAGGUUGCCUAAGGAGGGGUGAACCAGCCCAGGUCGGAAACGGAGUAGGUCAAAACUCCCGUGCUGAUCUGUAGUGGGAUUGCGCCUGUGAAUAGCCACUGUACUCCAGCCUGGGCAACAUAGCGAGACCCUGUCUUUA